rnacentral:rRNA from 1 species
AGCGAACGCUGGCGGCAGGCCUAACACAUGCAAGUCGAACGAACUCUUCGGAGUUAGUGGCGGACGUGUGAGGAACACGUGGGAACGUGCCUUUUGGUUCGGAAUACCUCAGGGAAACUUGUGCUAAUACCGAAUGUGCCCUUCGGGGGAAAGAUUUAUCGCCAUUGGAGCGGCGCGCGUCUGAUUAGCUAGUUGGUGAGGUAACGGCUCACCAAGGCGACGUUCAGUAGCUGGUCUGAGAGGAUGACCAGCCACGCUGGAACUGAGGCACGGCCCAGACUCCUAGGGGAGGGAGGAGAGGGGAAUCUUGCGGGAUGGGCGCAAGCGUGACGAAGCCAUGCCGCGUGAAUGAUGAAGGUCUUAGGAUUGUACAAUUCUUUGUGCGGGGGCGAUAGUGACGGUACCCGGAAAAGAAGCCCCGGCUAACUUCGUG